GUGGUGAGGAGAGGGAGCGAGCAUGAUGUGGGAGGCUGUGUGAUAUUAGUGAAAUUACCCAAAGAGGCUGGCGGACAUGCCCAAGAUGGGCAGCACAGUCAGAAGGCAUGUGGUUAAUUGGGAGCAGCUCAAUGGCUACCAUGCUUCUCCCCGAGACACAGCAUUCCGCAGCUGAGGAGGUUUGGGCUGAGAUCAAAUCCUGAUAUCAUAUCUGCAGGCUCUGUGUGAGCUUUGGGGAUUGAGUAGCCAGGGUCCCUGGUAAUUUUUGCUCACCCUUUGGCCACUUCCUAGGCUCUCCUUGUCCAGAAAGCUCCUCAGAGGAGAAGACUCUGUUCUAGCCAGCGAUGUGUGUCUGCCUGGAGGAGUUCAGCAUGCACAGACACCACGUGCUUCUUAGCUUGUCACAGAUGCCCUGAGCCACAACCUUCCAUGGCAUGUGGCGUUGGAAGUCCCCUUUGACAUAAUCCGGAUAAGCACCCUCACCCUGCAGAUGGGAAAACUGAAGUCUAGCCAAGACAUCAAAGCUCACACUAGGAGUCAAGGGCACAGCUGGGCCCAGAACUACCUAUCCUGGUACUACAUUUUUUCUCUUUCCAUAGGAUGCUCAUUAACCCUGGAAGACGGGUAACCUUUCCAAAAAGACUUGUUGAUCUAUUGGUUUUACCUGAACCAGAAAUCAGGUUCAUAGCAGGCAUUCCAUGGUGAUGGGAUGACUCAAGCCAAAGCGUAGAAUCAAAGAUAAUGUUGGUUUGGGGAGAAGAGAAGAAGUCAACUCCACAAAAUGCCAAGUCGGCCAUCAUCACCAGGUGGUUAGCUGUAUCAAGUGGCUUUCAGAAGAUCAUCUCCAUAUCAGGAUUAUAUAAAAAUGCAGUUAUGUUUUCUUUGAGUAUUUUUAUAACUUAAAUCCUUAAUCAUCUAAAACUUAUUUUGAGAUAAUGGAUGGGACAGAAAUCCAGUAUUUUCCCCCUGAAUUAUUGACAAUCUGUUACGAUAUCAUGUACUGAGUUUUCCGACAUUUCUCUGGUGAUGUGGAAUUCUACCUUUAUAAUUUGUAAAUUCCUAUAGGCACUGAGUUUCUCUUUUCUUCCACUGAUAUGUGUGUGUAUUCCCCCACCAUUCCUGUAUGUUCUAAUUAUGUUGAUAUAUUUAUGAUAAUCUUGAUUGCAUUAAAAUGUGUCAGUGGGCUCAC
rnacentral:lncRNA from 1 species